rnacentral:rRNA from 1 species
GACGAACGCUGGCGGCGUGCCUAAUACAUGCAAGUAGAACGCUGAAGAGAGGAGCUUGCUCUUCUUGGAUGAGUUGCGAACGGGUGAGUAACGCGUAGGUAACCUGCCUUGUAGCGGGGGAUAACUCUUGGAAACGAUAGCUAAUACCGCAUAACAAUGGAUGACACAUGUCAUUUAUUUGAAAGGGGCAAUUGCUCCACUACAAGAUGGACCUGCGUUGUAUUAGCUAGUAGGUGAGGUAAUGGCUCACCUAGGCGACGAUACAUAGCCGACCUGAGAGGGUGAUCGGCCACACUGAGACUGAGAAACGGCCCAGACUCCUACGGGAGGCAGCAGUAGGGAAUCUUCGGCAAUGGGGGCAACCCUGACCGAGCAACGCCGCGUGAGUGAAGAAGGUUUUCGGAUCGUAAAGCUCUGUUGUAAGUCAAGAACGGGUGUGAGAGUGGAAAGUUCACACUGUGACGGUAGCUUACCAGAAAGGGACGGCUAACUACGUG